rnacentral:rRNA from 1 species
GAAAGUAGGAAAGGGCGCAUGGCGGAUGCCUUGGCUCUCGGAGGCGAUGAAGGACGUGAUAAGCUGCGAUAAGUCACGGGGAGGUGCAAAUAACCCUUGAUCCGUGAAUCUCCGAAUGGGACAACCCGUUACCUUGAAGAGGUAACAUCCAUCAAUGAUGGAGGCUAACGCAGGGAACUGAAACAUCUUAGUACCUGCAGGAAAAGAAAAUAACAAUGAUUCCCCCAGUAGUGGCGAGCGAACGGGGAAGAGCCCAAACCGUUCAUGUUACGGCAUGGACGGGGUUGCAGGACCGCGUCGUUGCAAGAAAUUUUGCGAGAAGAACGAUCUGGAAAGUUCGGCCGAAGACGGUGACAGCCCGGUAUUCGAAGCAAGACGAAGCAUAGCGGUAUCCUGAGUAGCGCGGAACACGAGGAAUUCUGCGUGAAUCUGCCGGGACCAUCCGGUAAGGCUAAAUACUCCCGAGAGACCGAUAGUGGACCAGUACCGUGAGGGAAAGGUGAAAAGCACUUCGAACAGAAGAGUGAAAUAGUACCUGAAACCGUGCGCCUACAAGCGGUCGGAGCACGAAAGUGUGACGGCGUGCCUUUUGCAUAAUGAACCUACGAGUUGCCGUCUUUGGCAAGGUUAAGGGACAUGAGUCCCGCAGCCGAAGCGAAAGCGAGUCUGAACAGGGCGUCAAGUCAGCGGCGGCAGACGCGAAACCAAGUGAUCUACCCUUGGCCAGGAUGAAGUCUGGGUAACACCAGAUGGAGGUCCGCACCAAUAAGCGUUGAAAAGCUUCUGGAUGAGCUGAGGGUAGGGGUGAAAGGCUAAUCAAACUUGGAGAUAGCUCGUACUCCCCGAAAUGCAUUUAGGUGCAGCCUUGCGGGUUACUGAUGUGAGGUAGAGCGACUGAUUGGAUGCGAGGGCUUCACCGCCUAUCAAGUCCUGACAAACUCCGAAUGCGCAUCAGUUCUACCGCAGGAGUGAGGGCAUGGGUGCUAAGGUCCGUGCCCGAGAGGAGAAGAAUCCGGACCACCGGCUAAGGUCCCGAAAUGACAGCUAAGUUAAACUAACGAAGUCUGAUUGCUAAGACAGCUAGGAUGUUGGCUUGGAAGCAGCCAUUCAUUUAAAGAGUGCGUAACAGCUCACUAGUCGAGGAAUCGGGCGUGGAUAAUAAUCGGGUAUGAAGUUGUCUACCGAAGCCGUGGGAUCAGCAAUGAUCGGUAGGGGAGCAUUCCAUUCCGCGUCGAAGGCGUGGCGUGAGCCAUUCUGGAGCGUAUGGAAAAGCAAAUGUAGGUAUAAGUAACGAUAAAGGGGGUGAGAAACCCCCUCGCCGAAAGACUAAGGUUUCCUGAUCAACGCUAAUCGGAUCAGGGUCAGUCGGGUCCUAAGGCUCAGCCGAACGGCGAGGCCGAUGGCAGAAACGGUUAAUAUUCCGUUACUACCUUUGAGGGUGACGUGGGGAAGCAGUAGUGACACUGCCGCGGGCUGACGGAAUAGCCCGUUAAAGAGUGUAGGCGUUGAUUUCCGCAGGCAAAUCCACGGAAAGAGCCGAACUUGACAGUAUGGAGCGUCCUUCGGGACAAUCCAACAGCGCAGGUAAGCAGACUGCCGAGAAAAUCCGCUAAACAUAACUUCAGAGGUACCCGUACCGCAAACGGACACACGUAGUCGGGUUGAAUAUACUAAGGCGCUUGGGUGAAUCACGGUUAAGGAACUAGGCAAACUGACCCUGUAACUUCGGGAUAAAGGGUCCCUCCUCGCAAGAGAGGGCGCAGAGAAUAGGUCCAGGCAACUGUUUAACAAAAACACAGGGCUGUGCGAAUAUGAAAGUAGAAGUAUACAGCCUGACACCUGCCCGGUGCUGGAAGGUUAAGAGGAGAUGUCAUCGCAAGAGAAGCAUUGAAUUGAAGCCCCAGUAAACGGCGGCCGUAACUAUAACGGUCCUAAGGUAGCGAAAUUCCUUGUCGGGUAAGUUCCGACCUGCACGAAUGG